UGCAGGCUGGGGGGUGCUGCAGUUUGCCU
rnacentral:piRNA from 1 species